GACGUAGGGUGCAAGCGUUGUCCGGAUUUAUUGGGCGUAAAGAGCUCGUAGGCGGCGUGUUGCGUCGACCGUGAAAACCUAUCCGCUUAACGGUGGGCUUGCGGUCGAUACGGGCACGCUAGAGUUCGGUAGGGGAGACUGGAAUUCCUGGUGUAGCGGUGAAAUGCGCAGAUAUCAGGAGGAACACCGAUGGCGAAGGCAGGUCUCUGGGCCGAUACUGACGCUGAGGCGCGAAAGCUAGGGGAGCGAACGGGAUUAGAAACCCG
rnacentral:rRNA from 1 species